GACGAACGCUGGCGGCGUUCUUAACACAUGCAAGUCGAACGAAGUGGCGAACGGGUGAGUAACGCGUAAUCAACCUGCCCUUCAGAGGGGGACCACAGUUGGAAACGACUGCUCAUACCGCAUACUGAAGGAGGGGAUUGCGUCUGAUUAGUGAGUUGGAGGGGUCACGGCCCACCAAGGCGAUGAUCAGUAGCCGGUCUGAGAGGAUGAACGGCUACAUUGGGACUGAGAAACGGCCCAGACUACGACGGGAGGCAGCAGUGGGGAAUCUUCCGCAAUGGACGAAAGUCUGACGGAGAAACGCCGCGUGAGUGAUGACGGCCUUCGGGUUGUAAAGCUCUGUUAAUCGGGACGCGGUACCGGAAUAGAAAGCCACGGCUAACUACGUGCCAGCAGCCGCGGUAAUUC
rnacentral:rRNA from 1 species